rnacentral:rRNA from 1 species
GCGGACGGGUGAGUAAUGCUUGGGAACAUGCCUUUAAGUGGGGGACAACAGUUGGAAACGACUGCUAAUACCGCAUAAUAUCUACGGAUCAAAGGAGGGGAUUCUUCGGAACCUUUCGCUUAAAGAUUGUCCCAAGUGAGAUUAGCUAGUUGGUAGGGUAAAGGCCUACCAAGGCGACGAUCUCUAGCUGGUUUGAGAGGAUGAUCAGCCACACUGGGACUGAGACACGGCCCAGACUCC